rnacentral:rRNA from 1 species
UGAAUACGAGACGCUAAGGCGUCGAAGUAGUGUAUGUCAUACUUCCAAGAAAAGCUUGCACUGUCAUAGAUAAAAAACGCCUGUACCAUAACCGACACAGGUGGGUAGGUAGAGUAUACUAAGGGGCGCGAGAUAACUCUCUCUAAGGAACUCGGCAAAAUAACUCCGUAACUUCGGGAGAAGGAGUGCCUUAUUCGUAAGGUUGCAAUAACAAGAUCCAAGCAACUGUUUAUCAAAAACACAGGUCUCCGCUAAGUCGUAAGACGAUGUAUGGGGGCUGACGCCUGCCCAGUGCCAGAAGGUUAAAGAAGUUGGUUAGCAAUUGCGAAGCUGAUAACUGAAGCCCUGGUGAACGGCGGCCGUAACGAUAACGGUCCUAAGGUAGCGAAAUUCCUUGUCGGGUAAGUUCCGACCCGCACGAAAGGCGUAAUGAUUUGGAUACUGUCUCGGAGAGGGGCUCGGUGAAAUAGACUUGUCUGUGAAGAUGCGGACUACCUGCACCAGGACAGAAAGACCCUAUGAAGCUUUACUGUAACUUGAAAUUGAAAUUGGACUUUAUUCGCGCAGUAUAGGUGGGAGGCGUUGAUUAUAAUCUUGUGGGAUUAUUGGAGCCAUCAGUGAGAUACCACUCUUGUAAUGUUAGAUUUCUAACUUUGAAUCAUUAUCUGGUCAAAGAACAGUUUCAGGCGGGCAGUUUGACUGGGGCGGUCGCCUCCUAAACGGUAACGGAGGCGUGCAAAGGUUUCCUCUGAACGGUUAGAAAUCGUAUCUAGAGUGUAAAGGCAUAAGGAAGCUUGACUGUGAGACCUACAAGUCGAGCAGGGACGAAAGUCGGUCUUAGUGAUCUGACGGUACUGAGUGGAAAGGCCGUCACUCAACGGAUAAAAGUUACUCUAAGGAUAACAGGCUGAUCUCCCCCAAGAGUUCACAUCGACGGGGAGGUUUGGCACCUCGAUGUCGGCUCAUCGCAUCCUGGGGCGGUAGUACGUCCCAAGGGUUGGGCUGUUCGCCAUGAAAGCGGUACGCGAGCUGGGUUCAGAACGUCGUGAGACAGUUCGGUCCAUAUCCGGUGUAGGCGUUAGAAUAUUGAGAGGAGCCUUCUUUAGUACGAGAGGACCGAGAAGGACAUACCUCUGGUGUACCAGUUAUCGUGCCAACGGUAAACGCUGGGUAGCUAUGUAUGGAGUGGAUAACCGCUGAAAGCAUCUAAGUGGGAAGCCCACCUCAAGAUAAGUAUUCUCAUC